rnacentral:lncRNA from 1 species
GGCCUGAGCUGGAAGCAGAAACUGAGCUCUCCUGCUUGCUGCGAGGAGAUCCGCGUGCUACCCCCACCCAAGGUGGGUAUCUGGGAUCCCUACCACCACACCAAGAGCCAGAUCCCCAAGCUCAGCAAGCGUGAAACCCCCCGGGCCUGUGAACCUGGCCCUCUCAACGCCAUGGCCUGCCGGGCCUGCCUUUGCGCCGGCGCCCCCGCCCUGCCGCUCCGCAGCAAACGGGGUUAUUUCCGGCUCCCCCAACACAGUCUGUUUUUCCAGCCUGGGGAGUGACUAGAGAGGGAGCCGCCCCAGAACCAGAGCUGCCCUGUGCUCUGACUCAAUGGCCCUGAGAGCGUUGUUACCUGAUCUUUUGUGUGAUGUAUGUAACGCAAGGAGAUUUGCAGUGACUUUGGAGCCCAGACUGAGGAAGCGGAGGUGGCGAAAGGAGAGACAAUACGGGCUCGAAGUAUAAUUAAGGAGCCACAGCCGCGGGUCCCUCCCUGCCCUCCCUAACCGACUGGAGCUGUCUAGCUUCAAACAUCAGGGCGACCCGCGAACCUAGAACCGGAAAACUCAGCCUGUGACCAAGGAGCCAAAGGACUACGCCUCCAGAAAAGAGGAAGAACGCUCCCUCCCAACCUGGGGUUGUUGUAGCCAGCCCUGCGGAGUUUCAGAGAAUCCAAUGAAUGAAAGUACACAUUCCGACGACGAAUUUUUCUGAGCGUUUGGAAGGAGUACCCGGGUUUGGGAAGUCUCAGACAGACAGGCAAGCGGCGUCUCCCAAUGCAGACAGACUCACAACAUGAGUGUGAGGCUGAAAUCAUACACAGGUUGAACAUCCCGAGGCCUCCUUGUCAGGCCUGGUGGGCGCCGAUCUCCCUACCUUCUCUCCCGACAGGACCUUAAGCAGAGGCCCGGAAGACUUGGUACCUUGGGCUUGGUCCAGUCCCUCCUCAGAAAGCCUCCGUUACCUGCUUCUUGGCUCCCCAUGGCCACAGAGGCCUCCCGCCCAGGGAGGGAAGCCCUGGCCACCGCAGCCGCCGCCACCCGCCCUCCUUCCCUCCCUCCCUCCUUCGCCCUCCCUCCCUCCCUCGCACGCUGCCGCUCGCGGGGCCCUCCCGCGGACAACCUGCUCUGGACCAAAUCCAGGUAUCUCCGGAAGAAAGAAAGAAAGAAAGAAA